GCUACCCCCUUCUCUUUCUGUCUUGCUUGAGCUUUUAUUUACUAGUUUUUUUUCUUUUUUCCUUUGUUAGAAGUUGCUAUUUGCAGUUGAAGUCUGCUGUGAAAGUGACCCUAGUUGGGCAAUGUGGUGAGCAAAAGAGGCUUCAUGCUGAUUCCUGUGUUCCUGCAUAGGGAAAAAGGGGCUACUCGGUGCUGGCUGCUCCAGUUGCAUGCUUCUGAAUGGCUCUUCACCUCAUCAGUCGCCUGUGAACAAUUGAGAUAG
rnacentral:lncRNA from 1 species